UGCCAGCCGCCGCGGUAAUACGGAGGGGGCUAGCGUUGUUCGGAAUUACUGGGCGUAAAGCGUGCGUAGGCGGACUGGAAAGUCAGAUGUGAAAUCCCGGGGCUCAACCCCGGAACUGCAUUUGAAACUAUCAGUCUAGAGUUCUGGAGAGGUAAGUGGAAUUCCUAGUGUAGAGGUAAAAUUCGUAGAUAUUAGGAGGAACACCAGAGGCGAAGGCGGCUUACUGGACAGAUACUGACGCUGAGGCACGAAAGUGUGGGGAGCAAACAGGAUUAGAUA
rnacentral:rRNA from 1 species